CCUACGGGUGGCAGCAGUGGGGAAUAUUGCGCAAUGGGGGUAACCCUGACGCAGCAACGCCGCGUGAUUGAAGAAGGCCUUCGGGUUGUAAAGAUCUUUAAUCAGGGACGAAAAAUGACGGUACCGGAAGAAUAAGCUGCGGCUAACUACGUGCCAGCAGCCGAGGGAAUACGGAGGGAGCAAGCGUUAUCCGGAUUUACUGGGUGUAAAGGGCGUGUAGGGGGGCUUGUAAGUCAGAAGUGAAAUCUGGGGGCUUAACCCCCAAACUGCUUUUGAAACUGGGGGUCUUGAGUGAUGGAGAGGCAGGCGGAAUUCCCAGUGUAGCGGUGAAAUGCGUAGAUAUUGGGAGGAACACCAGUGGCGAAGGCGGCCUGCUGGACAUUAACUGACGCUGAGGCGCGAAAGCGUGGGGAGCAAACAGGAUUAGAUACCCGAGUAGUC
rnacentral:rRNA from 1 species